CAAGUCUCCUCAAUGGCCUCUCCCAAAGCUAUAUAUGGCGUCUGGACCCCCGGGGUAGAAUUUGUCCAAACACCCUGGAGAGGACACAGAAAAGACAGGCACCAGCAACCAACCUCACUCAUCAAUGAGGAGCAGCUGUGCAGAGCCCAAAACAAAGGCCACAUACCAAUCGCCAAAAUGCUCAAUAAAUAUAAUUAAAACUU